rnacentral:lncRNA from 11 species
CAUAUUUUAAUUCUGCCUGGAAACUGAAUUCACUUAUACCUUCCCAAAAUCCUUUGAAAGCCUAGUAAAGUGUGAUGCAAAAGGCAGUGCUGAUAAGUAUAGAGCACUCCUCCUCAGCGAGCAGAUCCUAAAUUUGGUAUCUUUCUCAAAAUGAGAACAUGACUAAUCUGAGAAAUCAGAUCCGAGUCUCUGGUUCACGUGAACCAAAACCACCACAUUUCAUGAACCUGUAUAAGAAGAAAUACUUGCAGAUCACUCCAUUUUGAAAUGUAUUCACAGCACACGGAUGGCAAAAAUGCAGAAGAUGCUACAGCAGCUGAAGUGAGCCAAAGAUGGGGGGAAAUGAGAGAAGGAGAGAGAAACUGGGACAUUUUAGAAGAAGCUGAAAAAGUCGGACAACAAAAGACUAUUCCUGCCAAAUUGAGAUAGUUAGAGUGUAUGGAUGAUUCCAAAGCCGUUACUUCUCCUCUUUGCUCUAGUUUGUAUGUACAGUUUGUGUCUUCAAGUCACAUGUCAGUUUAUGAUGACUGUAUGAAUUACAUAAAAUUUCCUUAAGCAAGG